rnacentral:rRNA from 1 species
AUGGCAGAGGUUGACCUGGGCAACGAGCCGGCGAGCGUCUUGAGCGCGGAGGUGGCGGUCAGCCGGCGCAGGCGGCUCAGGGCAGUGGAGAUGGCGCCCGCAGGCGAGCGUGAGGAUGCACACGAGGCGGUCGAGGCUCCGAUGACUCCGUGGCGGCUCAGGGCGCAGACGGUAGAGGAGUCCGAGUUGCUGUCUUUAUCCGUUUCCAGGUCAUAG